rnacentral:rRNA from 1 species
UCUGCCUAGGAGUGGGGGGAUAACAUUCGGAAACGGAUGCUAAUACCGCAUAUCUUUUUGAACCGCAUGGUUCUUAAACGAAAGACGGCUUCGGCUGUCGCUCUUAGAUGAUCCCGCGGCGUAUUAGUUAGUUGGUGGGGUAAAGGCCUACCAAGACCAUGAUACGUAGCCGACCUGAGAGGGUGAUCGGCCACACUGGGACUGAGACACGGCCCAGACUCCUACGGGAGGCAGCAGUAGGGAAUCUUCCACAAUGGGUGAAAACCUGAUGGAGCAAUGCCGCGUGAAUGAAGAAGGUCUUCGGAUCGUAAAGUUCUGUUAUUAGAGAAGAACAAGUCAAGGAGUAACUGUCUUGACUUUGACGGUACCUAACCAGAAAGUCACGGCUAACUACGUGCCAGCAGCCGCGGUAAUACGUAGGUGACAAGCGUUGUCCGGAAUUAUUGGGCGUAAAGGGAGCGCAGGCGGUUGGAAUAGUCUGAUGUGAAAGCCCACGGCUUAACCGUGGAAGGUCAUUGGAAACUGUCCAACUUGAAUACAGAAGAGGUAAGUGGAAUUCCAAGUGUAGCGGUGAAAUGCGUAGAUAUUUGGAGGAACACCAGUGGCGAAGGCGACUUACUG